rnacentral:rRNA from 1 species
UACGUAGGUGGCAAGCGUUGUCCGGAUUUACUGGGCGUAAAGGGCGUGCAGGCGGUUUGUUAAGUCUAGGGUGAAAGCUCCCGGCUCAACUGGGAGAGGUCCUUGGAUACUGGCAGACUUGAGGAGGGUAGAGGAGAGUGGAAUUCCCGGUGUAGUGGUGAUAUGCGUAGAUAUCGGGAGGAACACCGGUGGCGAAGGCGGUCUGCUGGGGUAAUGCUGACACUGAUGCGCGACAGCGUGGGGAGCAAACAGG